rnacentral:lncRNA from 1 species
AGCAGUAAUAAUUUACAUGAAUUUAAUGUUACAAGAAACAACCAACUCUCCUAAUUCAAAAUCGGAGAGGUUGAGAAGGUUAAUUGUUAGAGUGAGAAUGCCAUAUUAGCAUUGCAAACUAGAAGUGAUAUGAACAAAAGUUUCUUCUCUACAAGGGAUAGUCAGACCGCCCAGAGGAUGAUCAAACCCGAACUCUUCUUCAGCCUGACUUAGCAAGCUUUGGAAUGAAGGACUGUUCAAAUAUGAUAUGGGGACUACAAAUCGCUUCUUUUGUUUUUCGCCUACAUAAACAGCGAAGUGGCCUUUUGACACAGAUGUAGCAGCUGAAGCAUUUGAAAGUAUUCGUCUGAAUAAUUGCUUGGCAGGUACAUUUUUUAGCAAGCGGAUAGCCAUUAUAGAGGAAACUGAUAUUCUUCAGGAGUAUUGGUAAGUAAUUGAUCUGUUGUAGUUGAUAGAAAUAAAGAAAGAAACUUUAGCCGUGGAGUGUAGUUGAAAUAUUAGGAUACUCGUAUAUAUAAUAUAGGAAAACUACAUGCCAUCAAUUUUAAACAGAAGACAAAUCUUUACAUUUCACAAGGUUAUGCCUCCCACCAAAAACUGCCAUGAAUACGACUGUUUGGUGUACGAUUUUAUAUCUGUAUGCCAGCUGCAGAUUGUGGGGUAUACUCCAUAUGCAAUAUGUAAAACUUGUUACAUUAAAUAUGUUAUAUUUUAUGGUAAGGAAAGAACAAAGGCCACCUCUACCAUAUGACAUUCGGAAACAUGGGGGUCAAAUAAGUUAGUUGCUCAUGUGACAAUGUUUUUUGGCACCUACAGUUAUUAAUUGGUAAUGAUAUGAACUUGGUCUAAUUCUGUUGAUUAAAAGAAUGAAGAAAGCCACCAUGAUUGAUAAAUGGUAUUGUUGAAUGUUUUGAUUAGUUGGUAAGAGAUAUGCAGCUUGGACUAGUUUUGUUGCUUGUUAUUCUAGUAUUUAUUAUUUCGAAUUGGCACCGACGUGCCGCUAUAUUUGAUGAAAUGCCUAAGAGAAGUGUUUGCAUAUGAUUGUAGAUUAUAAACACUAAAUGUGAUUUACAACAGUAGAAUAUGGGAAUAUCGUUUGAUUGAAAGCUACUGUCAAAAUUUUCAUUUCUAUGUCAACUGUAUCAACAGAAGGGAUGCCUUACUAUUGUGUGCUUCUUUCUUUUUUUUUUAUGUAUGAAAUAUUUAGAAGCCAUGAAGCAUUCUACUUGUGCAAUGUAUACACAAGAACCCGAUAACCUCAUUUGGUGUAUAUGACCAAAACCUUCUGAUACUAACUGCUUGUCAUUUUCUUAAACUAGAAUUCUAACCCGUGCGAAGCACGGGUACUUUUAAUUUCAAUUAAUUAGAAUAGUAUUUUGUAAAUAUGAUUCUGACCAUCUGUAGUACAUUGUUAUAGGUUGAUUUCUUGUUUUAGAAUUAUUUAUUUAAGUACUUCAAACUCUUUGGUGAAAUGAAUUUUGAAGAAUUUGUGAUCCUAAUUGGGCAAUACAAAUUUUAUAAUAGAUAAGUUUACAAUGAGUAACCAUUACACUUGACAACAGAGAAAAACAAUAACACAAAAAAGUCUUACAAACUCUGAUGUAAAAAGUCUUGCAAACAAUAUGAUCCAAGUAUCAACACAUGUUUACGAAACAUAUUAUAUUAAUAAGCAGCGUAUUUUUACAUCAAUUAGCUUUCUUUACAUAUCACAUACUACAUACAUAUAUACCUCCCAUACUGUACAUCAGAACUUGGGAUCGAUGGCCCUCAACCCUAUUCAGGAUUCGCUCGUAGCAAAACUCAAAAUUAUACGCCUUCUGAUUCAUCCUCCUCUUCUUCCUCCUGAAAUCAGCCUCUACUCCCUCUAGUAUACCCUCUAUCCUGAUGCGGGUAUCAAUCUCGGCUUCCUAAACGGCCUCUUGCUCCUCGUUCCUCUCCUCCGUCUGUUGGACUCUAGCCUCCAGCUCCUGAUUCUUCUGCUUUAACUGCUAGUUCCUAGUUUCCAUGUAACAUCCCCAAAUUCGAGUACUUGAAACCCGUACUUGGUGCUCCACGAUAUCAUUCAUUAAACUACUUGAUAUAUUAAAUAACUAAAAUAUUACAUCAAAGUUGUCUAUUCCUCAAUUACGAUAACCUUUAAGUACUUCAUUACAUGGUAUCAUGUUACAAACUUCUAACUAUUACAUAUAACGCCUUCCAAUUAUUUAAUCAGCUUUUCCUUACCCUUGUCCUUGCCAGAACCUUCUGUUCGAUCCCGCUUAGCUGAAAACAUUUAAGUUUAAAGCAAGAAUGCGUAUUUAAUUGCUCAAUAAGUAAUAGUAGAUAAUAAAUAUUAGUUGAAAGAAAUAAAUAUUUUCUUUGAAUUAUACUUCUACAACGAAUCAAUAGUUGUGAAGUAAACUGAAACAAUACUGGAUAACAUAUCAAAUCAUUUACAUUUUUGAAACUACAUACUGACUAUAAAUCUAAGCGGUCAAUAGACCUUGAACCAUUGUUUUCAAGUUUAAAAAUGUUUGUAUAAAAAUUCAUCUGCAAACCAUCAUGGCUUACGAGUACGUUGGGUGAUCAGCCCGUUAUGCCCUGUAUUGAUCAACACUACAUGCUAGAACGAUGUACGCGUUCAUCAUAACUGCCUUUGGUGCAUAAAAAUUUCCCAAUUUAGGGAUGUUCAUACUCACUCUAGAGUCCGAACCAAAGCAAUUUAGUUGGACGACUCUAUCAUAAACAAUCAUGUUCAACGAUACAUUUCAAACUAUGUCUAGCCGAGUCAAAUAGCUUAGACGACUUUUAAACCAUGUACACAUACCAAUAUUUUCGAUUAUAUAUGAAUCAUAAUGAAAUACUUAUAAUCAAUGAACGAAUUGAAUAGAAUUCGAGAAAUUGCAGGAAUAUGAAUGAACUAGCUGUGUCUCAUGCCUCCGACACUACAUGGACGGUGGGAUUUAUGAAUACUUGUUUAACCACAGUCAUUGCAUGAAUACAAAGGUUCAGAUACAUGCUCAAUAAAAGUAGAGUUCAGAAACUUGCUUAAACGAAUAACAAAGAUCAUUAUAAAUGUGAAUAAUCAACAACAAUUAUUCACGAACAUGCUUAGAAAUUAAUAAAUCAAGUUGAGUUAGGAGCUUGCAUAAACAUAUACAUGUUUGCACAAUAAAAGAGUAUAGAAACUUGCAUUGAUCGCUGCUAACUGCUACACAAUUUAAUAUAACUUCUUUUGAAAGUCCUAUCAUUAAUAAGAUUGAUCUAUCAAUUGGCAUCACAUGUCUCACUUAUUAUACCAUUAUUCCAUAAUAAUUUUAUCUAACAUGUAAUCACAUAAUGAAACACCUUAAAUCUUUAAUAAUAUUAUUAUCCUUUGAUAGUAUUUCAAUCACUAAACCAUAUACAUUAAGAUUUAACACUUACUCUUUCAUUUUAUAAGUCCUUCUUUAAAAUCUAAUAAGUCAAAUACUAAUCUAGCAACCUGGAUUAUUCAAACAAACCAAUCCAGAAACCUGGAUGAUCAAAACAGACCAAUCCAGCAACCUAGAUUAUCCAAACAAACCAAUCCAACAACCUGAAUUAUCCAAACAGACCAAUCCAUGCAGCAACCAGAUGGCCAAUCCAAUAAACCAGAUUGCAAUCCAGCAAACUGGAUUCAAAAUAUAUUUCAAUCCAGCAACCUAGCUUCCAUUUUUUUAACAUACUAUAUAUCUAAUAUGGUUUAUUGAAUGUCUCAUUCUACAACUACAUUUAAAAUAACUUUAUUUCUUUAUAUAAUUCAUUUUAAUCUUCCAUUUAAUAUUAUUAAUUAUUUAAUAAUAUAAUAUUAUUAAUAUUUUAAUAAUAUUUUAGUCUAAUAUUAUAAAUUACAUUAAUAAUAUUUUAAUCUAAUAUUAUUAGUCAUUUAAUAACAUAUUAAUCAUUUAUUAAAUCAAUAAACAAUUUAUUUUAAUUGUUUACCCUUUAUUAAUUAAUUCAUUUAACCAUCUUAAAAUGCCAUAAACAUAAUAUCUCAUCAACAUAGAACAAAAUACCUUUAAAAAUCUAUAUAUGCCAUAUUUAGGGUUUUCAAGACAUAAAAUCCUAUUUUUCUAAUUUUCAACAUCACAUAAUUAAUUUAAUUUAUUUAUCCAUAAUAUCAUCAUUUAUAUGAAAAAUAGGAAAACAUCUCUAAAAUUAUUUCUUUUCUGUAAAUCAACUGAAUAUAGUUCCCUUAUGAAAAUAUAUUUUUCCUGAAAAGUUUGAAAUUCAUUUACUAUAUUUAAAUAGUCCAAAACAACCAAAUCUUGCUACAUUUAUCAUAAAUCGAAACUUUGUCCGAAAAUUCUGAAAUUUACAGGGUAUGUUCCUGUUAUAUAUAUGUACGUCCAGUACAAAUUUCAUAAUUUUUAGAGUUAACCACAAAGAUUUAUUCAUGCAUACUUUUAAAAGUAGUCCUUUACCGUAAUAGCCAUAACUCUCAUUCUUUAUGGCCAAAAUUUCUCAAAUUUUUACAGGAGUCACGUAACUUAUCAUAGUAUCACUACAAAUUUUCGCAAAAUUUUUAGAGUAAAAUAAACAGACGAAACAACCCUUGGUAGUUGCUGGACAGUAGCUAUUUUUUUCUAUUUUUUCACUUUUCUUUAUCCGAACUGUUUUGACCAAAACAACCAUCAUGACUUGUAAACUCAAUAUUUUUGAGUGCUACCACUUGGGUUUACUAGUUAACUUAUAUAUCUAGUACCCCUCCUUGACGACUCAUAAAACAAAGUUGUAGAUCUCAAGUUAUAAGCUUUCAAAGUAGAAAAAAUUAGGGUUUUCUAGUUUUCAAAACAUAAUUUUCAUUUCUUACUUUAGAUCUAACUUUUGACCCUCAAAAGGGUUAGAUCUAAACAUAAUAGACUCGUAACCAUGUAGAUCUAGAGUUUUAGAUCUCAAGAUCAUAAACUCUAUAUCAUCAAAAAUCAAAUUAAACACAAGGAAAUACACUAUAUUAAGUUAAAAUUUUGUUAUACUUUGAUUGAUUUCCUUACUACUUCUUCUUCCUAAGGUUUGUUUAAGGAUCUUUGAACACACAAAACAAUCCCUCUGUCUUCUCUCUUCUGCCCGAAAUCUCUUCCUCUCUUGUCUCUCUCUAGCUUUAGUUUUGGGCUAUCUAAAGGAAUGAAAUGAAAUGAAAGAGAAAAGAAUAGAUUUUGUUUGUUUGUAAAACUACAUAAAUAUAUUAUAUGUAUGCAUACAUAUUGCCCACACUAGCUCUUUCUCUCUCUUCAAUCACUUUGAUGUUGCUUGAACACUUGGUUAAAAAUAUUGGUGGAAUGAAAAAUGGACACCUACGAGGAGUUGGUGAAGAGUUGUUAAGUGCAAUCAUUAUAUGCAUUCCCCCUCCUUUUCUUCUCUCUUGGCCGCCCAUUACCAUCCAUUCUAGCCCAAUAUUUGUUUUCUUUUUAUUGCAAUUUAUAGCUUACUAAAUGUCCAACAUGUCCCAUGUUAAUAGGACUAAAAUUUUGGGCUUUAAUUAAAUUUUUUUGGGCUUUUAAAUUAAUUCUUUGGGCCAUGUAAAUUAGAUUGGGUCCAACACUUUUUAUUUUUUUUCUUACCUUUAAUUAAGGUUUUCGUUCCCCAUAUUUAAAAUUCAAAUCCCUAUUCAUGUACAUUUAAUUUUAUAACUCAAUUAGACUUGUUUUACUUAAGUUAUAAAAUUAACUAAUUGAGAUAUAUAAAAUAAAUCUCUUAGGGUUAGUAUAUAUUUUAAAUACUAACAUUCAACUUUCAUAUUAUAAUUCUUAGGUUAUUUAACUCACAUUCCUAAAAUAUAUAUUAGGUUACAAAUCUUUAUUAUUAACUCUCUUUAUAUGUUAAAUAAAUAUAUACACAUUUAAGUAAUAUAUAUAUAUAUAUAUAUAUAUAUAUAUAUAUAGAUUAAAGAUGGAGAAAAUGCAUGUAUUUGACCCAUUUGAUAGCUACCUCUCCCACAACUCUCUCUCUCUCUUUCUCUACAUAUCCGAAAUUCACAAGUUACUCAGUCCCUAAAANNNNNNNNNNNNNNNNNNNNNNNNNNNNNNNNNNNNNNNNNNNNNNNNNNNNNNNNNNNNNNNNNNNNNNNNNNNNNNNNNNNNNNNNNNNNNNNNNNNNAUAAAUUAUCUUGCUUAAUUCACAUAUUCACUUAUAUGAUCCAAAUACUUUCUAAAAAAAUUUUUAUUCGUAAGAAGUUACAUAUAUAAACAUAUAAAAUUCUCGGUCCUUACAUUUCAACUCCUGGAUUCUCUCAUCCAUAUGUUAAUUUCAAACCUCCAACUGUUGAUUCCUAUAUACUAAACCCCUAAUAAAUGCAUGUACCUCCGCCAGCACAUCUACCUCAUGAUCAUCCUCCUCCACUAAUGCGGCAUCAUCCUCCAGUACUACGUGAUCCUCCACAGGAUCCUCCUCGGGAUCUUCUUCUAGAUCCUCCUCACGAUCCUCUUGACGCCAGACAUAAUAGUGAUUAUUUUGUGAGCUGGCCGGUAACAAAAAAUUCACAGGCAAAGAAAACGAGAGAAUUACCCAAAAACACAGAGAAACUUCUCUAAUGCUUAAAUUAUUAUUAUCAAAAGAAAAGCUAUAUGUAAUUCAACCCACAAGCCGUGUUAUAUUGCUAAAAAAAUUCCUUAUUGAAAUAAAAUUCCUAUAACUACCGAAACAAGUUCUAAUAGGUAACAAACUUCCUAUAAUUAUGGCAAAAAUUAAUUACAUAAUAACAUAAAAGAUUUAUUUCCUACUAAAACACUGCUACCAUAAAAGAAUUUACUUUUUAAUAAAAAACUACCAUAAAAGAACGAAACAUAUCUAAAAAUAAAAAUGUCGAAGCUAAUCCGAACUCCCGAAGUCAUAAAGCUGAACCCGAAGAAGUCAGCCAUGAACCCAGAGUAAAUGACCCGAAUCUAGACCCAAACACAACUUCUGAAAGUGUCUGAUCCUGACUCUUGAAGAGAUUUCCGAAGAAAAGAUUUCCGAAGUCGAAUGCUAAACUCCCGACCCCCGAAGAAAUCAAUACCUGUCAUCUUUGCGGAGAUCCUCUAGCUAAGCAUCAUCGGACAACUCAGCAUCAUCAGACUCAGAUCUUCCUGCAUCAGUCACCCCGAGUUAAAAUGAACUCGUCCUCGAGUUCACAGUAUUGUCAUUGAGCUUUAUUGUUAUUUUCCACCACAUCAUCUCCCAUUCUUAGAAAAGAUUUGUCCUCAAAUUUUAAAGUAAACAAGUAUCAAACACCAAGAACGAGUCUUCAACUUUCACGAGAUCAAAACUCCAUGAAUUUUCUUCUUAAAGAAUAAUCCUGAAAACAAAUGGGGAAAUACCAACAUCUUCCAGUUUACCUAUAUGACAAAGAAAUUUUCAGGAAUAACAAAAUCAAUAAUUUUAUUGUCCUCAAACACUAGAAUAAUCUCAUGUCUAAUUUUGACAAUUGUAGUAUUCCCAUCCGUAAUAUCUCCAUAGAGUACCUCUUCAUCCUCAUAUUCGUCAUAUACAGGUUUUCCAUAAAUUACUUCUUUAUCUUCAUAUUCGUCAUAUGCAGGUUCUCCAUAGAGUACUUCUUUAACCAACUAUUCUUCCAACUACAUGUUCUUCAAUUUCGGAUAGAUCGUUCCUGGCUUUCAAUUGAUAAAAUUCCUCACUAGAAUCAUCCACCUUAGAACCUAGAUCUCUAUGAUGGUCAUUACUACCACGUCGUUCCCAUAGUUGCUCCUUAUGAUGGUAAGGAUUGUCAAAACCAGAUUCAGAAUCAUAAGAUUCCUUAUCACGAUCAAGGUGCAGGACUUCCUCAGCCAAAACCUAUCCACGAUGACCCAUAUUCUGCGCCGCUAGACGUUGGGUUAACUCUGCAACUUGUUUAUGUAAAUCAUCAAUCAUCGCGUCUUGAACGUCACGAUCCCGGUGUAGGACUUCCUCAAUCGGAACCUGCCCACGACGACCACGACCACCAACCAUUGAAACUGAUGAAGUUUAUUCCUAGGAAGAUAUUAAUGCUCUGAUACCAACUGACGCCAGAAAAAAUAGCGAUUAUUCUGCGGGCUGGUUAACAGAAAAUUCACAGGCAAAGAAAAUGAUAGAAUUACCCAAAAACGCAGUGAAACUUCUCUAAUGCUUAAAUUAUUAUUAUCAAAACAAAAUAUAUAUGUAAUUCAACCCACAAGUCGGGUUUUAUUGCUCAAAGAUUUCCUUAUUGAAAUAAAAUUCCUAUAACUACGAAAAUAAGUUCUAAUAGGUAACAAACUUCCUAUAAUUAUGGAAAAAUUAAUUACGUAAUAACAGAAAAGAUUUAUUUCCUACUAAAACAUUGCUACAAUAAAAUAAAUUACUUUCUAAUAAAGAACUACCAUAAAAGAACAAAACAUAUCUAAAAAUAAAAAUGUCGAAGCCAAUCCGAACUUUCGAAGUCAUAAAGUUACCCGAAGAAGUCCGUCACAAACCCGAAGAUAACUCCUGAAAGGGUCCGAUCCCGACUCUUGAGGAGAUUCCCGAAGCCUAAAGCUGAACUCCUGACCCCCGAAGACAUCAAUACCCAUCAUCCUUGCGCUGAUUAUGAUGACCCCAAAAUCGGGUCUAUUUCUCUCCCCGAUCUUGUGCGUUAAUAUUAUUCUGUUCUAGCUUUAAAACAUUAUUUAAUGUUAAAAUAGCUAAAAAUGCGAAAUAUUUUUUUUUUCUUUCUUUCCAUUCAUUCAUUCCCUGAAUAGCAACAUUUACAAUUCUUCUUUAUACUAGAAUCAUAUUUAUUAUAUGAUUUGUAUAAUCUGUGUAAACGUAUUAAAACCUUUAGUCUCAAUACUUCAUAUUUUUUCUAUCAAUGAUUCAUUUAUUUUAGAAUCAUAUCUAUUCUCAUUUCAGAAUAAACAUUCUUUAUCCAUUCAACAUUUUAAACUUACAUAACUGCCAAUUAAAUUUAACAAAACUAUCAAUCAUUAAUUUAUAACAUUUCUAAUUCAAGAAAAUGUAUUCAUUCUGCACAUCGUUUAAUCUUCAUCAUCCGUAUAGCAAGUAAUAUUGCCCAACAUCAUUAACCUGCAAAAAGUUUGUGUUUGCAAGAUUGAGCUCGACAGCCCAGUAAAUUUAACAGUCUAUCAUGUUUCACAUAGCACACAAUUCCAUAUGCACUACAGUUCCUUUAAUAUGCAUAUCUGCAUGCCACAUAUAUUCUUUACUAUGCAUAUCCUACAUGCAUCAAUAAUUCCUUACAAAGCAUACAUUCAUGCAUUAUACAUUUCUAAUUUAUCGAGUUACAUCAUACAACAUGUGUUAUCACAAAUCACAUAUAAAUUGAGUUCCAUAACCCAAUUAACUUAGUCAUAUUUUGACUUUAACAAUUCAUAAAGCAUGGUAUGUAACUCACCACAUAAUCACAUUUAAUCCACAAACAUAAUAGAACUGAAAAACUUGCCUUGAUUGGAGAUUACCGCUAAAAUUUAACUUAGAGUUUCUCCACAAUUCCUACAGAAUUAUAUUCACAUGCACACACAUAUUAGAUAAUUAAAUAUGUUACAAAACAUGCAUGUAUAUUCAUCAUUAAUAAUUAUUAGCUUAUAAAAACCAAUAUUAUUUAUUCUUACUCCAAAACUAAUAUUUGUUUAAUCUGAAACUCAAUUCAUUUUAAUCUUUCAAUGUCAAAUAAGACCUUUCACACUUUUAAUGUGUAAAUAUUUUUUGUUUAAAGCUUAAAUCAUUUAUAUUUCACUUUAGGAAUAUUUUAUGCUCUUACUUGCUAAUUCGGGAGUUAAACAGCAAAUAUAUAACUUUUAUAGUAAAACUCAAUUUACUAUAUUAUUUCUUUAAUAUAAAUAUUUCUUAUAUCAUUUUGUCCACUCAUGAGUCAACUCGGACCAUUGCCUCAUUUAUAUACAUUCUAUCCCGCUAACACACUUACUGCAUUUUUCAUUUUGCAAAUAUUCAGAUUUUCACUAUAUAUAUUUAUAUAUUAAAUAUAUAUAAAUCUUGGCUCAAAAACUCCAUUCUGAUCCCCACAAAUCUUCAUUGCAUCACUUUUAUGAUUAUUACAACUUUUUAAUGGUUCCAUACUUUUUCGUUUCGUUAUAAACCAUUUUUCAUGUCAAUUCUGGCUUACAUUCGCUUAAAUAUGCAAAUUCAUAUUUAUAUAAUAUUUUUAUUGCAUUAUUUAUGCCCGAAAGGAAGUUUCAUGACGUAAAAUAUCACAUACAAUCAAAUCUCUUCUCUUGGUACUUUAUUAGAUCUAAUAUUGUCUUAAAUUUAGCCCAAACACACUUUGGAACGACGAAUGUCAAAACAGCCCAUCAUGACUACAUUCGGCGUCGCCCAAAUUGUAGUUCUGACAUGUCUGUUCGCCUAUUUUUAAUUCUCAACCCAUAAGUCAUAUAACAGUUAAAUUUUUUGUAUGUUAUAGACCUCAUGAAAUAGUAUUUUUUUAAAAAAUCUAACCGCGCAAACAAAUCAAGGAAACUACUCAAAACAGACCCUACAAAUCAUGUCGUGUAACAGCACUGCAGCGCCAGCAGUAGCAGGCAUCGGCGAACGCUGAGCGCUGCCAAGCGUUGCUGCCCAACUGCUUGGCAUACUCUGCUGCAGCACUUAACGACCUAGCCACUUUGCAAUCUUCUUACGCUUUGCUCGCUUAUCGGAUCGUUCUCAAAUUUUAAUAUGUUUUUCGUAUCAUAUGAGACUAUUUUUGAAAAAUAUUAAACACCCAUUCCGGGUUCAACAGGCAGCCCAGACAUUGUGCCAAAAGUGGACGUUCAUAAAAAUUUUCAAUUUCGUUUCAGCUUUACCCUCUCUCGCUAAAACAGUCAUAACUUCUUCGUUUCAAAACAUUUUUGAGCGUUUCUUGAGCCCACGCGAAGCUAACUUCCAAGAAUACAACUUUUAUUCUUUGACUAUUUUCAAAUUAUUAGCACAAAAUUGCAGAAAAUCCGUGCAAGGGGACUGCUCUGAAUUUGUUGGACAGUUUUGACGCAACUACUUUGAAAUGUCAUAACUCCUUGCUCCGAAGUCGGAAUUAGUUCAUUCCAGAGUCUAUGAAAAGCUUAUUCAGUUUACUAUAAUACCCCAAAAGCCCAGAAUUUUCUGGAAAAUGUAGCUAGCCCCGAAUUUGUUCUUAGGGUCAGCAGUCCACAAUUUUUCGGUUUUUAAUAUGUUUUACUAAAAUCUUCACUAUAAAUACGUUUCAACUCCUUUUUGAUUCAUUCCAAUUGGAUUAUUUUCAUAACUCGUAGGAGCACAACUGACCAUUACAAAACUUAAAAUUUCAGUUCUAUACCCUCAUAAAUUUUGGCUCAAGAACAGCCCCCAAAAACAGUUUUAAUUAGUUCGUUUUAUAUUUUUUAAUAGGAAAUCCGUCAUGAUUUUGUUACAAAGGAUUUUUCCCUCGAUCCAAUUGAGUUUUGUUCAUAACUCAUAAGAGUACCAUACAUCAUCCCGGAACUUGAGUUUUCAGGUUCAGAGCACAACACAAAUUGGUCCAAAACAGUCCACUAGUUGUCCAAUUCACAUAACCUUGUUUCUAAACCAUUUCUAAUUCAGUUAAGCCACUUGGGACGCAUCAUAUUUUAUAAACAUAAACUUCCUUGCUCACAGUAACAAGAAGUUUUCAGUUUUAAAGCUUCGCAACCUCUUAGAGGAAUUUCAUCAAACACAUCAUGUGCGAUAGUUUUAAAGUCGGAACUUAUAGGCAUUUAAGGAGGGUUAAGUCCAUUUUUUUUCCACCCUUAUCUCUCAAGUGCCCUGCACAAAGCCUCCUCAACAGCCAUAGAUUAACUAAUUCGCUAUAAACAUAACAAAAGUUCACUGUUACCUUAUAGCCUCUUGAAUUUGAUUAUGUUUUAGCUUGUAAUAAACAGUUAUCAGUACAUUAACAUAUUAUACUGAAUAAAAUAAAAUUUUAUUUUAAUAGUUAUUAUAAUUUUAAUAUUAUAAUAACUAUUAAAAUAAAGUUUUAUUUUACUAAAUCUUUAUUUUAAUAUUAUCUAAAAAUUCAAAACGUCACUAAUCCUCUAGCUAAGCAUCAUCGGGCUCAGAUCCUUCUGCAUCAUAUCUUCUGGCUCACUGCCCUGCUCUGGAUCUACUACAUGCUCUGGUCCAGGUACUUUGUGUUAUAUAUUGCACCUUAUUUUAUACUUUUGUGACUUAUAAUAUGUCAUAUUUGAGUUUGAUAAAACUCAUCUGUGGACAUAAUUUAAGUAAGUAUAAAAGAUGUAAAUUAAUGUCCUCUACGUGGAGAAUAAAAGAGAAUAAAAGAGAAUUUUAUUUGAUUUGUGUAGAAAUCAUUUGAUUAGUGUCUAUAGUGAGACAUUUAAUAAGGUGCAAAAUUGUUUGAUAAAAACUAUUUUUUCGUAGUUCCAUGUAAUAGAAGUCUAUUUUAUUUUAUUUUUUGGAACAAAAAGAAAAUAAUGAGACUAUUCAAAUUCUAUUUAACUCCUAAUUAUUACUAAGUAUGGUUACAUAUAUGUAACUUACAUAUUUAGUAUUACUAAGUAUGAUUAAAUAUAGAAUUAAAUAGUAUUUUAUGUAACUUGCAUAUAUGUAUAUAUAUGUAUGUAUAUAUGUUGAUAUAUAUACAUAAGAUAAGAUAUAUACAUAUAAAACAUAUAAGUUACAAGUAAGUUUGUGCACAUAUUUUUUUUCUCUCUUUUUGAUCUUCUCCAAUUUUUCUUACAAACAAAUAACUACUUCAAAGUAGUGUUCAAUUGGAAUUUUUUAUGAAUUGCUAUCACGAAUUAUUCACUAAGGCUUGACAUAUAUUCUGAAGGUAUAUCGUUUGCAACCCAUAGCAAACCGAUUGUGGUGGGGGCAAUAAAGACCUUAAGGACAGGGAUCACCCGUGUCACGUCUUCUACAACAAUCUUGACUCUACUAAACUACGAUUCUAACAAUCUUAAGGUCUUUAUAGUAUUUGUUAGAGUCAUGAUUUUGGUGAGAUGGAAGACAACACGAUUUUCAAAGAUAAGUGCCAUUUUUCUUGUAUCUAUUUUAUCAAUGGAAUUUUUAUGAUAAUUAGUAAUAUAUUGUGAUAUUAAGCUAAUUAUUUUUAUUGAUAAUUCCUGUUAGAAGAUGGGUUGUGGAGAAAAAUGAAAGUGAAAAGAUUUGCAAUUUACAAGUUUGUAAAUUGAUAUGGAGAAGAUGAAGAGUCAUCAUGGAAAACACCAAAUUUUGAUGCCUAAAUUUUUUUCUAAAGAGAUUGUGGUGUUCUUCGGAUUUAAUUUCAAAAGGUGUGUUUUUUAACAUUAGCCUUUAUUUUUAUAAAUGAUAAUUGUGUAUCAUUUUGUAUGUGUAUAUACUAGAAACUAUAUGUUUUAUGUAUUAUAUCAUGUGUAGAUGAUAUUAUAUAUUUGAAUAUUAUUUUACCCACAUUUUGUUGUAAUAAAUUAAUUAAUUAGUUUUGUGGGUUAAGAAAAGUAAUUAAAUUUUUGUUCAUGAUGGAAUAAAUUUAAUUUUGUACAUAUAUGUUUUGUUUAUAAUAUUUUAUGAGUAGAUAAAAUAUUUGAUGUGUAUAUGUAUAUAUGAAAUUUGAGACAAUUAUUUUCUUAUACACUAAUUGAGAUUAAUUUAUUAUGAGAAAGUUGUAGUAAAAUUUGAGAAGUUUACUUGUUUCUAUGUAUAACAAAUUAGUUGUAAAUUAAUAUUUUUUGAGAAUAAGGUAAAUUUAUAUAUUUUUUUCUUGAACAAAAUUAUGCAUAAAAAGUUUGAGGUAAUAUUUAGUAUGUAAUGUUACUUGGUAUUUGUAUGCAUGAAUUUUGAGAUAAAUUACUUUGUUUGUGGAUAAUAAAUUAAUUAUCAACUAAUAGUUAGACAAGAUAUUGUAGAAGUAAAUUUGGUUGAGUAAAUCUUGUAUACAAUAUGAUUUUGAUGUUGAGAAAACACUUAGAAAUGAUAUUCGUAGUGUUUUUGGGAUAAUCAUAAUGUAUAUGUUGAUUUAUUUUUAUGUGUACUUCUUGUCCAAGAAGUAGUAAAUUUUAACGUGAUUAUAUGAAUUUUGUAUAUUCAAAUUGAGAUAAACAUUUUAUUUUUUGAAUUUUUAUAAAUAUAGUGAAGUUCAAGUAUUUCAUAUUAUUAUGAAGAUUGUCUUGAAUUCUAUAUUGUAAAUGUCAAAAGAUAUAUUUUUUUAUGAAAUUUCAUAUCCAAGUUGGGACAAAAAAGAAACUUAAGGAUAUACUAAUUCAUGUGUGUGAAUUAUAUUUACUUUCUACAUAAAUUAAUUUUGUGUGAUAAAUUAAUUUCUUAGAAAGUAAAUAUAAAUUUUUAUAUUUUAUAAGCAAACAAAUUUGUGCAAUAUGAGGAGUUGUGCUAUAAUUUGUAUAUAAUGAAUUUUAUACUAUUUACAUAGAGUCAAGUAUUACGUGUUGGUAUACUUAAAAAUUGUACAUGUAUAAUUUUAAGUGCUCAUAUUCAAUAGUUUUUUAGAUUUGAGAUUUUAUGUAAUUCAGAAAACAAGAACUUGUUUUCUUAUGUGGGGGUGUUCUAAAAGAUUCUUAAGUUGAAGCAAUCUUUAUAUGAAUAACUAAUACAUAAAAUGUACGAGAACUUAUUUUUUAUUUUGAGAAGUGUUCCUUAAUAUUCUCACGAGGAAGUAAUAUUUAUAGGAACAUUGUCACAUAAAAUUUCAAUUAAUCUAAAAUUUAUUUUAAGUAGUGAGCAUAAUAUUGUGAAGUGAAAUUAUUCAAUGAGAUUUCAAUUAUUUAAAUGUGUGGGGGUGAUUCUUUAAGAUUUUUAUUUGUGGACUAAAUUUAGCUUUUGAACUAUUUGGAGCAUAAUUUUAUUUAUGUAAGAAAUAGUAAAGCUUAUGGAUUUUAUGUUGCGAAAUUCAAUUUGAUUGUGUAGUCUUAUGAAAUGAAAGUCUUUGAAACACAAACUUUUGAAUAAUAUUAAAGUGUGAACUUAUUUCACUUAAUUAAUUAUCUAAGGUUCAGCAAAGUUAUAAACUGAACCUAGAAAGAGCAAUAUUGAUUUGCUGAAGGAAAUCAAUAUAAUAAUUUGGUAAAUAAAAUACCUAUUUUAUUAGCCUAAAUAUGAUCCAAAAUAUUUAUAGUGAUUUAGUUCAAUAGUGAGUUUGAAACUAAGUUAUAAAUAUUAAAGUGGAUACAUAUUAGGUGAUAAUAUGUGUAUAUUUACCUUGGGAUUCUAUCAGAUAUAAAAUUAUUUAUAUGUUUACACUAACAAUAUAAUUGUAUAAACUAUAAUGUGAUAGUUUUUGUGUAUAUUAAUGAUAAGUUGAUCAUUUUACAUAGUAUUGUUAGCGUAAAUGAGUUUAAGAAAUAUCUAUUUUUGUCUUUAUGUUGAACGACAUGUAAAAUAGAUGUUACAAAGUGAAGAUCUCAACUAAACUAGUUUAAUUGUAUUGAGGGGCUAUACUAAACUAAGUUUGAUAUACCUUGAGAUUGAAGAAUUUAAUAAUUCUUUAAUAGUAGUGGUACAUUGAAAGUUAAUUCUGAUAUAGUUAUUGUAAAUCUGAAGUACAUAUUCGCUAGUGGGAGCCUUGUGUUUGAUAUGCAAUGCACGAGAUCAGAUAUUACAUACAGUUUUAAACUUAGUAUACUAAUGAUUUACAUUGGUUUUUGUUAGAUCUCUCAAUGUUUUAAUAGAUCACAUAAGUGUCACUUAUAUUUUAGUGAGGAAAAUUAUAAAUUUACAAGUAGGUGAAUUUUAACUCAAACUUGAGUUUUGUUUCUUAGAUGAGUAAGAAACAAAUGAGUAUUUCCCAUUUCACAAUAUGAAUCUAAUGUUAUUAUUUUAUGAGGGAAGUUUAAUGGAUUAGGGUGUUUGUUAAAACAUUGAUUGUAGCCUAGUCUAAAGCCUCCCAUUUCACAAUAUUGUGUUAGUGAAAUUUUUUAUGUAGUGCAAAUUAUUAAUCUUGGAUUCAUAACUAGUUGUGAUCUUGAAUAAGUAUGAAAAUAUUCACAAGUAGGUGAAUAUAUAAUUAUAUUUUUACAAGUAGGUGGAUAUAUUAUUACCCUUAGUGAGGAAAUAAUUUACUUGGAGUAGCAAGUAAUACUAUUGCUUUAUAUGAUGGAGAAAGCAAACGGAAUCAAAAUUUGUUGUUAAAACAUCAAAUUGUGGCCACUUCUAUUGCUUAGUUCAUUAUGAUGUGAUAAUGAAAUUGUUUUGUAUAGAGCAUAUGAGAUUACCUUUAAUGGUAAGUCUUGACAUGUUGGUCAUAGACAUAAUUUUUGUUAGAUAAAUGAUACAAGAAUGUAUUAUAAUAUUUAUCUACGAGAAAGUCAAGUGACGACUUGACUUAUCUUUUUAUUAAGACUUUGAUGAGAUCUUAGUAAGUUUAACUACUUGUGAUAUGGAACUUAAACCACUUUGAGUUAGGGGUGAUGGGAACCCAACCUAUUCCUAGGUUACCCCUAAUUUAUAGGUUUAAUGGGAAAAACAAAUCACAGUUGUUGACUGUGUUACUAACGAUGUGGUUCCAUAUGUAGUUUAAGAUAGUAACGUCUGUUGCACGGCCACGGCUGAGUUAUACUCUUAACAAAGUUGUUGCAUGUGUUCUUAGCAACAGAAACACAUGUGAAACAUUUUGCCUAUAUGAACUAGAAGUGGAGCCACUUCUUAUAGAUGGUUGUGGUUUACUCUCUUAGAAGUUCAUGAAACAGGGUAUUGUGCAUGGCCAUAUUAGCGCAAAACAAUUGAGAAUACUCACCGUGGUAGGAGGAUUUUGUGUGUGUGUGACAAUUCCAGUCAUAUCAUAUAGAAGUAAAGGUUCAAUCUAUGGACACCUUCAACUUCGAUGUGACUUUGAGUUGUUUACACUAAGGGAAGGUUCAAUGUUCGUCACACCCUCUUUUAUGCACACAUGCCUUGGAGUUGUUUGAUAGGAAGUUGUUUGGAUGAAAAAUAGUUUUUCCAAACAAGUGGGGGAUUGUUAUAUAUUGCAACUUAUUUUAUACUUUUGUGACUUAUAAUAUGUCAUAUUUGAGUUUGAUAAAAUUCAUCUGUGGACAUAAUUUAAGUAAGUAUAAAAGGUGUAAAUUAAUGUCCUCUACGUGGAGAAUAAAAGAGAAUUUUAGUUGAUUUAUGUAGAAAUCAUUUGAUUAGUGUCUAUAGUGAGACAUUUAAUAAGGUGCAAAAUUGUUUGAUAAAAAUUAUUUUUCCUUAGUUCCAUUUAAUAGAAGUCUAUUUUAUUUUAUUUUUUAGAACAAAAGGAAAAUAAUGAGACUAUUCAAAUUCUAUUUAACUCCUAAUUAUUACUAAGUAUUACUAAAUAUGGUUACAUAUAUAUAUGUAACUUACAUAUUUAGUAUUACUAAGUAUGAUUAAAUAUAGAAUUAAAUAAUAUUUUAUGUAACUUAUAUAUAUGUGUAUAUAUGUGUGUGUGUAUAUGUAUAUAUAUAUAUAUAUGUUGAUAUAUAUACAUAAGAUAAUAUAUAUGCAUAUAAAACAUAUAAGUUACAAGUAAGUUUGUGCACAUAUUUUUUCUCUCUUUUUGAUCUUCUCCAAUUUUUCUUUCAAACAAAUAACUACUACAAAGUAGUGUUCAAUUGAAAUUUUCUGUGACUUGCUAUCACGAAUUAUUCACUAAAGACUUGACAUAUAUCCUGGAGGUAUAUCGUCUGCAACCCAUAGCAAACCGAUCGUGGUGGGAGCGAUAAAGACCUUAAGGACAGUGAUCACCCGUGUCACGUCUUCUACACCAAUCUUGACUCUACUAAACUACAAUUCUAACACUGUAAAUAUCUCUCACCACGUCUUCGUCGGCCAUCCAACAAUAGAACAAUUCACUCAGUACAUUAACAUAUUAUAAUAUGCAACUUAAAUAAUAUGAAAAUGUGUAUUUUUGUAGUGGAUUUAUCAGUUUCUUAAAUAUAUUAAAAAAAACAUGUUUGGGUUUCUUUUUCUUUCACUUGUUAAGUUUCUGUCUGAUGUUUAGUCACAACCUCUAAAUAAAAGUGGUCCAAGGACUUCCCCUCAGGUAGCUUCAAUAUUUUUUUAAUUAAAUAGAAUGGGUCGAAUAUGAAAUGUCAACUCUCUAUAUUUAAUAAAAAUAGAUAUGUGAUUAUAAAUUACAGUCCAGAUAUUUCCAACUUCACCCUCAAUGAAAUGCUGCAUUGAGCCAAAGAGGAUUCUGGUAUUAUCCAAAAACCAAAAGAACAUCAGCAGCCAAAGAGGAUUCUGGUAUUAUACAAAAUAUGUGUGAAAGCUACAUAUACAUUGUUGACCACUCUAUAUAAUUGCUUAAGCUUUUAGAGCUGUUGGUGCUUUAGAGCGGUUCGUAACUUAACAAUUGAGUUUAAAUUUUGUUAUAAUAAUUCAUGUCAACAGAUUGUGAAAAAUUAAAUUAAAGAAGCAAAUGUAUACUAAAAUUUACUGAUUAAAAUUAAAAUUGCACUUUUGCUUCUAAAAUUUGACUGAGAGUGAAAGAAAUUGAUGACUUUUCCAUUUACAUUUUUUUGACUUGGGAAUACAUACUUCUAUUUCCCAACUAUAUAAUUGAGAAAGAAAAGUAAAACAUAGCCAAAUGGAAUAUCUAAAAUCCCCUACUUUUCAACUUGGGAUUUUUCUCAACUAAGCUUACAUAUAUGCAAAACACAGAUACACAACCCAAAUAUAUAAACAAAGAGAACUGCUUUAUUUAUUGUUCGUAAUUUUGCUCUAAAAUAAGCAAAAAACUUGAGAGGAAUUACUUUAAUUUUUAUACAUAAUAUUAUCAUAGGAUGAACAUUUUUCCCUCCUAUAAUCUUUUCAUUAGGAGAGGAAAAAACAAAAAUUAUGUACAUGGACAUGUUACUUAUAGCUUUACAAAAUUGUGGUGAGCUAAUAAGAGCCUAAAAUAUGCUAAUUUCCCAAUUCACUAUCCACUCAAACCAGAAAUGAGAUCGACAAAUGUAUCCUCUCUGCAAGGAAUUGUGAGACCACCCAUUGGAUGAUCAUAUCCGAAUUCUUCCACAGCUUGACUUAACAAGUAUUGGAACGAAGGCUGGUUCAACAUUGAUAUUGGAAUCACAAAUCUUUUCUUUUCCCCCUCUCCAACAUAAACGGCUAAAUAGCCCUUAGGAACAUCUAUGGCUGAUGAAGCUGCUUUGCUUGUUAAUAAAGAUCGUUGAAGAAUUUGCUUAGCAUGAAUGAUACGGGGCAUACGAAUAGCCAUGGUUUAUGUGUAAGGAUAUUUCUUUUCAAAAGAGAACAAGAAAAUAGAAAUCUUCAAGUGCUUGUAGAAUUAAUGAGUAACAGCUGUGAAAAUGGAUGAGUUUGUUGAGGAUUUGUGCCUAGUUUUAAGUCCAAAGUGUGUAUAUAUAGAUGUAUUAACCAAGUGGUUGUCCUUCAAGUGGGCAGUUGAGUGGGGACAACUGAGAGACAAUGUCAUCUGAAAGAUCAUAUGGCUUUGUCUUCCAAAUUAUUAUCAAGAAAUUAGGACGACAGGCGAAAUAAUAUAUGCUGUUGAAUAACAUCCUGUCCUACAAGUCCUGGUACCAUAGCAAAGAGAGUACCUGUUGGACAUCUAAUUGGGAAUCCUAUUCUAUCUCAAGGUUAUUGACAACCUCUUAAGAAAUAGAAGUCUGACCACUUGAAAGAUCACAUGGUUUUGUCUUCCAACUUAUUAUCAAGAAAUUAAUAGGAUGGACUUUAGUCAUAUACAUUGUUGAAGAACAUCAUCUCUCCACCAUUUCCCCUUGAAUAAAAAUCAUUUUCAGGACUUUUUUUUUAUGCUGGUUAAUUUCUAGCUGAUAUUCAGUCACAAAAAAUGAAGUGGUCCAAACAAAGACUUCUCCUCAAGAAACUUCAAUAUUUUAUCCAAUAAAUAGAAUUGAUCAAAAACAGAAACUUCGCGAAUUAUAUCAACUCUCUUGUUCUCUCUUUUUCUUUUAUUCUACCUGACAUAAACUGCCAAAAACAGAAAUUUGGGACAUUUAGGAAUGCUGAAGUUCCAAGGUUUUCUGUAAUGAAGACCGUUAAAGAAUUUUCUUGACUCGAGUAAUUUGAGGAUAUUUAUUUGUGAAGGAAUAUUAUAGGAAUGAACUUGGUGCCUAUUGAAUUAAGCUUCAAAUUUCAAUGAACUAAAAACUACAUAAUUAAAUACAGAGAUAGAAGACACUUUUGAGAUGAGCUUAUAAUGAUAACAACAUUCUGUAUUAAGAUUGCUGGCAUGGAGCUUAUUCUUGUUAUAUAUGCUAGAGCUAGGAAAAGGUCCCUUAAUUUAUUAAAUGAGCUAAUAUAUAAAUUAGCAUGGGCAAUUUUAUUUACUUUUUCAACUUUUAUCUAUUGUCUAAGCUAAAAAGAAAAUUUGCAAUCUUAGGUGUUUUAAAGACGCCAUAAGUUCAUGUAGAAAAUAUAUAAAUAUUGAUGAAUUAAAAAAAGAAACAUUAGAUAGUGAUAUCAAAACGUUAAUUAUCAUUUAACAGUAAUAAUUUACAUGAAUUUAAUGUUACCAGAAACAACCAACUCUCCUAAUUCAAAAUGGGAGAAGUUGAGAAGGUUAAUUCAAAAUAAUCUACUCUCCUAAUUCAUGAAUUAAUAUUAGUACAUGAAUGGAUAAUGUCUAAGUACAUGAUACAUGUAUUUGAAAUGUCUUGAAACAUGAAAUGGUUAGGCUCAUGUACAUGAAUGUGGUCAUGAUGUAGUAAUUAUUAAUGUGGUUCUAGAAGUAUCAUAUGAGUCCUAUAAAUAGUCAUGUAAAAUGAAAGUAUUCUUAUGUUCUCCAAAGUUAUAUUUUACUUCCUCUAUAAUUUAUCAUCUUCCAUAAAUUUCCAACAAUGUUCGAGUGAUUUAUAUAUACAUAGUCAAACUGGAUAAGUUGCAUGAUCGAGUGAUUUAUACCCAUCGGAUGAUCAUAUCCGAAUUCUUCCUCAGCUUGACUUAACAAGUGUUGGAAUGAAGGCUGGUUCAACAAUGAUAUCGGAAUCACAAAUCUUUUCGUGUUCCCCUCUCCAACAUAAACGGCUAAAUAACCCUUUGGAACAUCAAUGGCUGAUGAAGUUGCAUUGCUCGUUGUCAAUGAAGAUCGUCGAAGAAUUUUCUUAGCAUGAAUGAUACGAGGCAUACGGAUAGCCAUGGUUUUAACUAUGAGGGUAUUUCUUUCUAAAAGGGAACAAGAAAAGAGAAAUCUUGAAGGGAUUUUAGAAUGAGUAAAAGCUGUGAAAAUAGUGUGUUGAGGAUUUGUUCCUAGUUUCAAGUCUGAAAUGUGUAUAUAUAGAUGUAUUAACCAAGUGGUUGUCCUUCAAGUCGGCAGUUGAAUGGGGACAGCUGAGAUACAAUGCCAUCUUCCAACUAAUUAUCAAGAAAUUAGGAUGAUAGGCGAAAUCAUGUAUGUUGUUGAAUAACAUACUGUCCUACAAGUCCUGGUACCAUACAAAGAAAGAACAUGUUGGACAAGAAGUACAAAUAUAUAUAUAUAUAUAUAUAUAUAUAUAUAUAUAUAUAUAUAUAUAUAUAUAUAUAUAUAUAUAUCUUUGGGACAUCUAAUGUGAAUCCUAAAAUAUCUCAAGUUUAUUGAAAACCUUUUAAUAAAUAGAAGUUUGACCAUUUUUUGAAAGAUCACAUGGUUCUGUCUUCAAACUAAUUAUCAAGAAAUUAAUAUGAUAGACUUUAGUCGUAUAUGUUGUUGAAGAACAUCACCACCCCACCAUUUCCCCUUCAAUAAAAAUCAUGUUACGGGCUUUUUAAAUUUUUUAUGCUGGUUAAUUUUCUAGCUGAUAUUCAGUUGCAAAAAUUGAAGUCGUCCAAACAAAGACUUCUCCUCAACUUCAAUAUUUGUGUAGGAAUAAUAUAGGAAGGCAAAGGAGAAAUGUAAGAACUUUUGGAACAAAUGAAAGCUUAAUUUUUUUUCUCUUAAUUUACUAUGUCUACAUGUAGAUAGAAGCAUUAAAGUUUAAAUGAACUUGGUACCUAUUGAAUUAUGCUUGAAAUUGUUGGGAAAAAAUCACCUCCCAAAUAUUGUUAUCAUUGAUAAAUUAGAGGGAUAAAAUAUCAGCACAUGCGAAACAGAUUAAAUUUGCAGUUCCACCAAAAUAAUAACCACUGCAGGAAAUAAUAAGUAGAAAAAAUAUCCAACCACGAGACACCAAGAUUUUUACGUGGAAAACCUUCUAAAACUAAGAGGUAAAAACCACGGGACAAUCUCCGAAAAAUUCACUAGAAUAAUAUGAGAGAAUACAAAGAUAUCUUAAUUUGAGUACAAACUCAAAUUACUUCACCACAAUAACUAUGUGAUGGAACCCAAAUAAAAUAGUCUUUUAUUUGAACUACUUUUCUCUCUCUAUUUUCUAAAGCUUUACAAAAGCUUUUCUUUCUCUCCCUCAUUCUCUUCUAACUCUCGGAUGGAGUAUAUAUUUUGUGUUGGUGUGUAUUUUCUUUUGCAGUAUUGGUGGCCUUUUAUAGCCGAAUGUAGGUGAGGAGAAAUAAAUGACUUGGGCAAAAUUUUCAAAGGUUGUUGGACGGAGGAAUUUUCAAGGGGUGGAGCAUUAAUGGAGUGAGGACUUUGACUGACAAUCUCCCCCUCCGAACCCAUUAGAGGAGGUAUUCUCUGUGACUCCGUCACUCGGAGUCCAUCCCGGCUAAUUCCUUGCAAAAUUCCAGCUUGUCGCGAGUGACAACUUUUGUCAACAUGUCUGAGGGAUUCUCGUCGGUAUUAACUUUCUUCACUUUCAUCAAUUCCUUUUCCAUCACUUCUCGAAGCCAGUGAUAACGAACAUCAAUAUGCUUGGUCCGAUUAUGAUACGUGGCAUUCUUGGUCAAGUCAAUUGCACUCUGAUUAUCACAAUAAACCACAUACUCAUCUUGUUUUAAACCCAACUCUUGGAGAAACCGUUUUAACCACAACAUCUCCUUUACUGCUUCAGUAGUAGCGAUGUAUUCUGACUCAGUUGUAGACAAAAUAACACACUUUUGCAACUUGGACUGCCAUGAUACUGCUCCCCCUGCAAAAGUAAACAAGUACCCCGAAGUAGACUUCUUCUCUUCAGAACCUGCCAUGUCUGCAUCUGUAAAACCCUCCAAGACUGGACUCAUACCACCAAAACCCAAACACAAACUGGAAGUAGCUUUCAAGUAUCUAAGAAUCCACUUAACUGCUUCCUAAUGUUCUCUACCAGGAUUUGACAAAUACCUGCUCACAACGCCAACUGCAUGAGCAAUAUCUGGCCGCGUACAAACCAUUGCAUACAUAAGACUCCCUACAACAGAGGAAUAAGGAACUGCUGCCAUAUCAUCUCUCCCUUCCUUGGUAGAAGGACACAUGCACUUUGUCAACUUAAUAUGACUAGCCAGUGGUGUGCUAACUGGUUUAACAUCACCCAUGUUGAACCUUGCAAGCACCCGCUCAACAUACUUCUCUUGUGACAACCACAACCUCUUGGCUUUCCUGUCACGAAUAAUCUUCAUACCCAAAACUUGUUUAGCUGGACCUAAGUCCUUCAUUUCAAAGGACUUGAACAACUCACCCUUGAGCCUUCGAAUCAUAUCACCGUCAUGCCCAACUAUUAACAUAUCAUCUACAUAUAGCAACAGAAUAACGAAGUUACCAUCCGGGAACCUUUUAACAUACACACAAUGAUCUGCAACUGUUCUAUUGUAACCUUGAUCCACCAUAAAUGAAUCAAAUUUCAUGUACGACUGCCUUGGGGCUGGUUUCAGGUUGUACAAACUUUUCUUCAACUUGCAAACCAAGUGUUCUUUCCCUUUAACUUCAAAUCCCUCUGGCUGUUCCAUGUAGAUUUCUUCCUUCAAAUCACCAUGAAGAAAAGGAGUCUUCACAUCCAACUUCUCAAGCUCAAGAUCCAUACUAGCUACUAAUCCCAGCACUACUCGAAUAGAAGUCAUCUUCACAACUGGAGAAAAAAUUCUCAUCGAAGUCAAUACCUUGCUUUUGAGCAAAACCCUUGACGACUAAUCGAGCCUUAUACUUCACUAGUUUUUCACCAUCCUUCUUAAGCUUAAACACCCAUUUAUUCUUCAAUGCUUUCCUGCCCUUCGGAAGUGUAGUCAACUCAUAGGUGUGAUUCUUGUGCAAAGAAUCCAUCUCAUCUUGCAUAGCUCUCAGCCAAUUGCCCUUCUCCUUAUAAGUCUUGACUUCCUGAAAAUCUUCUGUCUCCCCCUCUUCAGCAACUAAAAGAUAUUCAGAUGAACGAUAUCUGACUGAUGGCACAUGUUCUCUAGUGGAUCUUCUUAGUUGAGGUUCUUCAAUAUCUGGUUGUUCCCCCUGAUCAACACUCUCUGCAUUUGACCCAUCACCAUCGUGCAAAUCUGUAUCAGUCAUAUCUUCAUUCUAAACUCUUUCUCCAACUGUGGCAUUCUGUACUGGAGAUGGAACUUCGCUGAGGUCUGGAACUUUAUUAUCUCCGGGCUGUGUAGCAUUAUCAAAAUGCUCAUAAUUUUGGUGCUCAUGAAAUACCACAUCUCUGCUCCUAAAUAAUUUUCUCUGCACUGGAUCCCAUAACCGGUAUCCAAACUCUGCAUCUCCAUAGCCAACAAAUACACAUGGAGUAGACUUGUCAUCAAGUUUCGAUCUUUGUUCCUUGGGGAUAUGUUCAAAAGCCUUGCACCUAAAUACCCUCAAAUAAGAAUAAGACAAAUCCUUACCACUCCAAAUCUUUUCUGGAAUCUGAAAAUCCAACGGUGCUGAUGGAGAUCUAUUAAUCAGGUAACAAGCAGUACGAACAGCUUCACCCCAGAAUGACUUAGGCAGUUUAGCCAUUCUUAACAUGCAUCGCACUCUCUCAAUAAUAGUGAGGUUCAUUCUCUCAGCCACACCAUUAUGUUGUGGGGUACCAGGAAUAGUCUGCUCAUGCCGGAUGCCAUGUUUACUACAAUAUUCAGCAAAUUCCUUUGAAAUGUAUUCCCCUCCGUUGUCACUACGAAGACACUUUAACGAUUUUCCAGUCUCCCUUUCAACCAUAGAAUGAAAACUCUGGAAAUGCUGGAAUACCUGAUCUUUUGUUCUCAACAAAAAUACCCACACCUUCCGCGAAACAUCAUCAAUAAAGGUAACAAAAUACCUAUUUUCACCCAAAGACUCAACCUCAACGGGUCCAUAUACAUCAGAAUAUACUCUCUCUAGUAGCUCUGAUUUUCUUUUAGCUGAACUACUAAAAGAAACUCCAUGUUGUUUCCCAAACAAACAAUAAUCACAAGGGCUUAAAACAGUACCUUUAGCAAAAGGAAUGAGUGACCUUUUUGCUAAUAACUGCAACCCUUUCUCACUCAUGUGGCCAAGCCUCUUAUGCCAUAAGUUUGGCGAAGAGUCAUCCUCAACUACAUUCAACUCACUAGAACACACCUUCACAUGAGUUUUGUAUAACGAAUAACAAGCAACACCUCUUGCAAUCACCAUAGAGCCCUUGGUAAGCUUCCACUUUCCACUGCCAAAGUGAUUCUCAUAGCCUUCUUUGUCCAAGGCCAUGCUAGAAAUUAAGUUGAGACGUAAAUCAGGAACGUGUCUAACAUCCCUCAAGGUAACAGUACAACCAACAUGUCCUGUCUGAAUGCAAACAUCACCAAUUCCAAUAAUCUUGGACUGAUCAGUAUUUCCCAUUCUCACGUACCCAAAGUAACCAGCUUUGUAAGUUGUGAAAAAUUAUCUCUUCCGUGUAGCAUGAUACGAGGCACCAGUAUCAACCACCCGAUCAACUUUCUGAUCAUCAACAUGCAAGCAUUCUUCUUCCCCAAAUGAAAGAAUCACAACAUCUUCAGUGACUGUGGCUGCAGUGUUCUUCUCCUCAACCUUUCCCUGCUCACCAUUUUUUUGCUUAUCUAACCAGAUUCUGCAAUUUCUCUUGUAAUGACCUUCCUUAUUACAAUGGAAGCAUCUAUACAUUUCACCUUGUCUGGUCUUUGACUUGCUCCUGUGAUUUUUGCUUUUCUGUGACUUGUAUCUCCUUUGUGAGAUACUCUAAAAUUGCUUCUGCCCCUGUUCUUUGUGACAAGAGCAUGAGUCUCAAAAUUUACGCCUUGCUCCUUUCGCCUUGUCUCCUCAUUAUGAAGGCUGUCCUUGACCAUCUGCAUAGUCAUUUUUCCUUCUGGAGCUGAAUUGUUUAGAGACACCACCAAAGUCUCCCAGCUGUUUGGCAACGAACUGAGAAGCAAAAGAGACUGAAUCUCAUCAUCAAGAUUCAACUUCAUGGUGGACAACUGGUUCACCAAUCCUUGGAACUCACACAUAUGCUCCGACACACUGCUCCCGUCCUUGUAUUUUAGAUUCAUAAUUUUCUGAAUGACAAAAGUUUUAUUUUGUGCAUUCUUCUUCUUGUAAAUAGACUAGUGUUGUCCAUAAAGUGUGAGCAUCCGUCUCCUGCGAAACAUGGUGGAACACACUUUGAUCAAUCCACUGUCGGAUGUGACCAAUAUAGUUUUCUUAUUCAUUUUAUUCCAAUCAGCCUCAGACUUAUCUGCGGGCUUUUUUCCCUUGAGCUCUAACGGACCAUACAGAUCCUUGCAAUAAAGGAUAUCCUUCAUUCUGGGCUUCCAGAUCAAAAAAUUUGAAGAGGUUAAUUUAAUCAUGGCUCCGACUGAUUCCUUCAUAAAAUUUAUUAAAAACAACCGAGCAAAUAACCUUAGCUUUGAUACCAGUUGUUGGAAAAAAAAUCACCUCCCAAAUAUUGUUGUCAUUGAUAAAUUAGACGGAUAAAAUAUCAGCACAUGCCAAACAGAUUAAAUUUGCAGUUCCACCAAAAUAAUAACCACUGCAGGAAAUAAUAAUUAAAAAAAAAUAUCCUACCACGAGACACCAAGAUUUUUACGUGGAAAACCCUCUAAAACUAAGAGGUAAAAACCACGGGACAAUCUCCAAAAAAUUCACUAGAAUAAUAUGAGAGAAUACAAAGAUAUCUUAAUUUGAGUACAAACUCAAAUUACUUUACCACAAUAACUAUGUGAUGGAACCCAAAUAAAACACUCUUUUAUUUGAACUACCUUUCUCUCUCUAUUUUCUAAAGCUUUACAAAAGCUUUUCUUUCUCUCCCUCCUUCUCUUCUAACUCUCGGAUGGAGUAUAUAUUUUGUGUUGGUGUGUAUUUUCUUUUGCAAUAUUGGUGGCCUUUUAUAUAUAGCCGAAUGCAGGAGAGGAGAAAUAAAUGAGUUGGGCAAAAUUUUCAAGGGUUGUUGGACGGAGUUAUUUUCAAGGGGCGGGGCGUUAAUGGAGUGAGGACUUUGACUAACAGAAAUUUCAAUGAACUAGAAACUACAUAAUUAAAUACACAGAUAGAAGACAAUUUUGAGAUAUAGAGCAUAUAAUGGUAACAACAUUAUGUAUUAAGAAUGCUGGCAUGAAGCUUAUUCUUGUUAUGCUAUAUCUAUGAUAAGGUCCCUUUAUUGAAUGAGCUAAUAUAUAAAUUUGCAUCGGCAAUUUUAUUUACAUUUUCAACUUUUAUUUGUUCUCUAAGUUAAAAAGAAAAUUUGCAAUCUUAGGUGAGAGGUUACCGACUGUUUUGAAGACACCAUAAUUUCAUGUAGAAAAUAUAUAAAUAUUGUUGAAUUAAUAUAAGAAACAUUAGAUAGAGAUAUAGCAGUAAUAAUUUACAUGAAUUUAAUGUUACAAGAAACAACCAACUCUCCUAAUUCAAAAUCGGAGAGGUUAAGAAGGUUAAUUGUUAGAGUGAGCAUGCCAUAUUAGCAUUGCAAACUAGAAGUGAUAUGAACGAAAGUUUCUUCUCUACAAGGGAAAGUCAGACCGCCCAGAGGAUGAUCAAACCCGAACUCUUCUUCAGCCUGGCUUAGCAAGCUUUGGAAUGAAGGAUUGUUCAAAUAUGAUAUGGGGACUACAAAUCGCUUCUUUUGUGUUUCGCCUACAUAAACAGCAAAGUGGCCUUUUGGCACGGAUGUAGAUGCUGGAGCAUCUGAAAGUACUCGUCUAAAGAGUUUCUUGGCAGGUACAUAUUUUAGCAAGCGGAUAGCCAUUAUAUAUAGAGGGAACUGAUAUUCUUCUGGAGUAUUGUUAAGUAAUUGAUCUGUUAUAGCUGAUUGAAAUAAAGAAAGAAGCUUUAGCUGUGGAGUGGAUUGGAGGGGAAAUAUUAGGAUACUUGUAUAUAUAAUAUAGGAAUACUACAUGCCAUCAAUUUAAAACAGAAGACAAACCUUUACAUUUCAC